AGGAUAAACGCUGGCGGCGUGCCUAACACAUGCAAGUCGAACGCCCUUUAGCUUCGCAAGGAGUGGGAGGGAGUGGCGGACGGGUGAGGAACACGUGGGUGACCUACCUUUCAGUGAGGAAUACCGGCGAGAAAUCGCCGACAAGACCGCAUACGCUUCUCUAUUCGCAGAGGGAAGGAAAGCUUCACGAGAGUGAGGCGCUGGAAGAUGGGCCUGCGGCCGAUUAGCUAGCUGGUGGGGUAACGGCCUACCAGGGCGACGAUCGGUAGCUGGUCUGAGAGGACGAUCAGCCACACUGGGAUUGAGAACGGCCCAGACUCCUACGGGGGGCAGCAGUGAGGAAUUUUCGGCAAUGGGGGAAACCCUGACCGAGCAACGCCGCGUGCAGGAAGACGGCCUUCGGGUUGUAAACUGCUUUUCUUUGGGACGAGCAAGGACGGUACCAGAGGAAUCAGCCCCGGCUCACUACGUGCCAGCAGCCGC
rnacentral:rRNA from 1 species